AGCAUAUUAAAUUGGAGGUAUUGAAACUGCUUGAUAACUCAUUAAUCUAAACAGAAGGACCCAGGAGCAAAGUCCCUGCUCUAGCUGUAGGGCAGAUAUAAGCAAACAUUCGCCCUGGUUUCACUACAGUAAUGCUGAUGCACACAACUGUUACAGCAACCUUUUAAAGGAACUCAGAGAACUAAUACCAAGAAGCAACUACUGCAUUUAACUGGACCACAACUUUUUCAAAAUACACCAAACAGCUUGAUGGUUCUAUAUUUUGCAAUGGAGCAUUCUGAAGAGGCACAACAAAAUGGAGACAUUCUGGCACAGUCUCAUUCAAUCUCAUUCAGGCAACGGAAUGUCACUGUGCUGAACAGAGACUGAAGAAGAGAUGACAGCUGCCAAACACUCAUCUCAGGAAAGAAGGUCUGCAGUCCCAAGAAACUUCUAACCCAGUCUGAAGACAGUAUUCUAAGAUUGUUUCCUCUUAUGGUCCGCAAUUAAGCUAUUCCUUUUUGGAAGUGGAACUAACAAAGGCGAUGCUUGCCUUUGUCACCUGAACCACAGCAAAUAUAUUUCAAACUGUUGUGAUCUGCUCCAGCAGAUGGCUCAGCACUGCAUGCUCACUCCCCUCCUUCUCAGCGUGAAGGGGGAGAGAAUAAAAAAAACAACAACAAAGUAGCACUCGUGGGUUGAGGUAAAACUAUUUAAUAAGAGAGAGAAAAUGGAAAGAAAAAUAGUUAUGACUAUGCGUGUGUGUGUAUAUAUAUAUAUAUAUAUAUAUGAAUGUAAAGAACAAGUGACACACAAGCAAUUGCUCACCACUCUCCAGCCGAUGCCCAGCUUGCCCUAAGUGGCAGAAGAGAGCCAGAUAACUCCCAUCCCCUUCAAAACUCCUGCACGAUGCCAUAUGGCAUGGAAUAACACUUUGGCCAGUUUAAGUCAGCUGUCCUAAUUCUGUUCCCUCCCAGCUCCCUAGGCCCUUCACUGUGAAAGGCCUUGGCUCUGUACAACACUGCUUAGCAGCAGCUAUUAGCAUUGCUGUAUUAUCAACAUUGUUUUUCUCCUAGACCAAAAACAUACAGCCAUAACAAACACUCUGAAAAAAGUAAUUCCAUCCUGACUGAAACUAAGACACAAACCAACUCAAAAUAAGCUGAUAUUACUGCAACAGCAGCACUUACUUUAAGUUUAGGGUAUCAAUUCAUGUUUGCAGCCAUUUUUUCUCAUGUGUCAAUAAAGAGAGUUUUCUGGAUUUUUUGUAAGUAUAAUAAAGUUACUUUAAAACAGAACCUUGCAGAAACUAAAUAAUGGCUACACAGUUAUUAAAUAUAUAUAUAUGUUACACAGAAGUAGAAUAAAUUAAUUGCAUAAACUUCAUCAGGACAUGCAGAAAUGAAAAUAAUUUUUCUUCCCAAGUUAGAAAAUUAAGUUGACAUCCAAUGCGCCUAUAUUAAUUAUAACACUCAUUGAUGCUUAUAUGCACAUCUAAAAAAUAACAAAGUCCACAGGAAAUACGACAGUACCUUUGUUAAGAAAAAUGCAUCUCUAUUUCAUACCUGAAAUAUGGUUUCAUCUCCAGCUGUUUUCAAAUCAUCUUCCUUUCCAAUGAUUCUCUGCAUCU